rnacentral:rRNA from 1 species
GACGUAGGGGGCCAGCGUUGUUCGGAAUUACUGGGUGUAAAGGGUUCGUAGGCGGUGUGGCAAGUUGGGAGUGAAAUCUCUGGGCUUAACCCAGAGGCUGCUAACGAAACUGCUGUGCUAGAGUGUGAGAGAGGCGAGUGGAAUUACGGGUGUAGCGGUGAAAUGCGUAGAUAUCCGUAGGAACAUCCGAGGCGAAGGCGGCUCGCUGGAUCACAACUGACGCUGAGGGACGAAAGCUAGGGGAGCAAACAGG